rnacentral:rRNA from 1 species
UACGUAGGUGGCGAGCGUUGUCCGGAUUUAUUGGGCAUAAAGCGCGCGCAGGUGGUGCGGUAAGUCUGCCGUGAAAUCUCCCGGCUCAACUGGGAGGGGGCGGUGGAGACUGCCGGACUAGAGGGACUCAGAGGCCGGUGGAAUUCCCGGUGUAGUGGUGAAAUGCGUAGAGAUCGGGAGGAACACCAGUGGCGAAGGCGGCCGGCUGGGGGUGCCCUGACGCUGAGGCGCGAAAGCGUGGGGAGCGAACCGG